rnacentral:sRNA from 1 species
CACCGUUUGUGGUUUCUCUCGCUGUCCUCGGAACCAGGACCCCGGCGUGGCCUAGCGAGUCAUGGCGACUAAGGCCGUGUGCGUGCUGAAGGGCGACAACAGCCCAGUGAAGGGCAUCAUCAAUUUCGAGCAGAAGGCAAGGGCCGGGACGGAGGCUUGUUUGCGAGGCCGCACCAGCCCGCUGGUCCCCCCGCGCACCUUUGCUAAGAGCGGGUCGCCUGCCAGGCCUCGGGGCCGCCCUGGUCCAGCGUCCAGUCCCGGCCCGUGUCGCCCGGUCGGUGCCUUCGCCCCCGGCGGUGCGGUGCCCAAGUGCUGAGUCACCGGGCGGGCCCGGGCGCGGGGUGUGGGACCGAGGCCGCCGGGGGGCUGGGCCUGCGCGUGGCGGGAGCGCGGGGAGGGAUUGCCGCGGGCCGGGGAGGGGCGGGGGCGGGCGUGCUGCCCUCAGUGGUCCGUGGGCCGCCGCCGCCGCGGGGUCUGUCGUGGUGUCUGGAGCGGCUGUGCUCGUCCCUUGCUUGGCCGUGUUCUUGUUCCUGAGGGUCCCGCGGACACUGAGUGGCGCAGUGCGAGGACCAGCCCGGGGAUGGCGACUGCGCCUGGGCCCGGGCCCGCCUGGUGUCUUCGCAUCCCUCUCCGCUUUCCGGCUUCAGCGCUCUAGGUCAGGGAGUCUUCGCUUUUGUACAGCUCUAAGGCUAGGAAUGGUUUUUGUAUUUUUAAAAAGCUUUGGAAAACAAAAAUACGCAACAGAGACCGUUUGUGUGACACUUUGCAGGGAAGUUUGCUGGCCUCUGUUCUAGGUCAUGGUUGGGCUGCAAGGGCAGAGAAGGUAGCCUUGAACAGAGGUGCUUUUCCUCCAGCUCCGAGAGCCAGAGGUUUAACUGACCCUUUUGGGGAUUUUUGAGGGCAGUCGUUCUUAACUUUGGGUGCACAGUUAGCUUAUUUGAAGAUCUUACUAAAAAUACACCAGAGCCCAACCUCAGACCAAUUACAUCAAAACCUGUCCUAGUGCAGGGAACGUAAUGGACCAGUGAAGGUGUGGGGAAGCAUUGAAGGACUGACUGAAGGCCUGCAUGGAUUCCAUGUUCAUGAGUUUGGAGAUAAUACAGUAGGCUGUACCAGUGCAGGUCCUCACUUUAAUCCUCUAUCCAGAAAACACGGUGGGCCAAAGGAUGAAGAGAGGCAUGUUGGAGACUUGGGCAACGUGACUGCUGACAAAGAUGGUGUGGCCAGUGUGUCUAUUGAAGAUUCUGUGAUCUCACUCUCAGGAGACCACUGCAUUAUUGGCCGCACGUUGGUGGUCCAUGAAAAAGCAGAUGACUUGGGCAAAGGUGGAAAUGAAGAAAGUACAAAGACAGGAAACGCUGGAAGUCGUUUGGCUUGUGGUGUAAUUGGGAUCGCCCAAUAAACAUUCCCUUGGAUGUAGUCUGAGGCCCCUUAACUCAUCUGUUAUCCUGCUAGCAGCUGUAGAAAUGUAUCCUGAUAAACAUUAAACACUGUAAUCUUAAAAGUGUAAUUGUGUGACUUUUUCAAAGUUGCUUUAAAGUACCUGUAAGUGGGAAACUGAUUUAUGAUCACUUGGAAGAUUUGUAUAGUUUUAUAAAACUCAAUUAAAAUGUCUGUUUCAGUGACCUGUAUUUUGCCAGACUUAAUCACAGAUGGGUAUUAAACUCGUCAGAAUUUCUUCAAUUGUCAUUCAAGCCUGUGAAUAAAAACCCUGUAUGGCACUUAUUAUGAGGCUAUUAAAAGAAUCCAAAUUCAAACUAAA